GAAAUGAAUGCUUUCUGCUUAGGCAUUGAUUCAUCGAGUGGAAACUCCCAGCACAGAACGCAAAGCAGUAAAGAAGAUGAUUCAGACAUGGAUUUGGCAUUCAAGCCUCGGCCGUAGGGAAUUCCAGUAAUGGCAUAUUUAAGGCUGUCAGCAUGGUGUAAAUGAGGCUUUUAUAUGUUCAUGUCAAAGACUAUGCAUGGUCUCCUUCCUGGUAAAGAAGCUCAAUCAAUGCAAGAACAGGAAAUAUGUGACUAGCCACUGUUAAAGCAAUAGCAUUGAAAGGACAGUUCGAUAAACCAAGAUACACUGAUAUAUCUCCAAAGUUACAGCAUCGCUCAACAAAGUUCAGAUCUUUUUCCUCAUCAUGAAGCUAUUCCACUCAAUUGGUCACUCAGCUGCAAGGUAAAUUUGGCUGAACAAGCUUUGAUGCAGUGAUGCAUAUCUGUAUCCCUACUCACUCUGCUUCGUCUCGGAGGGAAUCAGGGAGCAUGGUGUGUCCAAAUUUAUUAUGCAUGGGCUUUCAUUCUUCGAUGUAACUUUUUGAAAUAAAGUGACUGGUGAUGGAAGCUGCUCCUUUUCUCCACUGAGGUAGCAUGGCUUGUGUCACUGGUCUUACCAUGUCGCAAACUAGAAUCUUUCAGCUUGCGAGGACUCAAAGUAGACCAUCCAUAAGAGAUGAGAAAGACAUAAAUCUGGCGGCCUGCAGGUUGGUUGGCAAAACCAAGGAGGAGGGUGACAAAAGCAAUCAGAGAGACUGAAAAUAGAGGAGCUUGUGGAAGGAUGUGGGAGAAGAGUGGUGGCUGAGGUACAGAGAGAGAAGGUAGUAGCUUGCCUUGUAAUAGGCACUGACCUCAGCUGAAGGCAAACUUUUCACCUUAGUUCUGUUUUAUGGGAUUUCUCCUGGUGUGCAUUGAUGGGUGUACUCUGCCCAUCUUCUAUAACAUUGGAUGGGAUCUUUAGAGCUAGGAAAUCACAGCACUAGACCAGAGAGGAUGGAAGGAUUUCCUGUGUUUUCCCCCAUGGAAUUGUCAAGAUUUGGUGCCACAA